rnacentral:rRNA from 1 species
UACGUAGGGUGCAAGCGUUGUCCGGAAUUAUUGGGCGUAAAGAGCUCGUAGGCGGUCUGUCGCGUCUGCUGUGAAAACCUAGGGCUUAACUCUGGGCGUGCAGUGGGUACGGGCAGGCUAGAGUGCGGUAGGGGGAGACUGGAAUUCCUGGUGUAGCGGUGAAAUGCGUAGAUAUAGGGGGAGAACACUCGUGGCGAAGGCGGCCAGCUGGACCAGCCCCUGACGCUGAGGCGCGACAGCGUGGGGAGCAAACAGG